GCCAAGAGCGUAGACUCAGGCUGGAACACUUGUGCUGGUUUCUCGCUGUCUACCUUGUAAAAGUCAUUUAGCCUCUGUGUUUAUCAAGUUCCUCAUCAAUAAAAUGGGGAUAAUAAUAGUACCCACCUCGUAGAGAUGCUAUGGGGAUUAAUGAAUCUGCUUGAAUUUUAGAACAGCCCUGGCUAAUAGUAAGUACUAUGCAUCUGCCAGCUCUUUUCAUAAUUACUGACAGAUGUUAUUAUCAACCAAAGAAGUAUUAGUUCUUUGUAAGGGAAAUGCAUGUUAGACCAUUUCAUUUAUCAUUUUCUGUAAUUCAGGCUUUUUCCCUCUGAAAUACCAUUUUCUGUCUGUGCACUAGUAAAUCACAGGGCUUUCCAAAUUUCAUCUGUCUGAGUUCUUGUCAUGAUGACAAUACUGCAGAGUUUUGACAUUUUUUAGGGACUCCAUCUGAGAUGACAGCAACCCCUCAAAUUCAGAAGCACUUCUCUAACUGACAACAUCUCGCAUGAAAUGAAGUUUGUAAAAUUGCAACUUCAGCCUCCAUCAGAGGACCUCAGCUGCCCCAGCGAACAGGGCCUUCUGUACAGGGAAUGUGCUCCUCCUCGAAGCAUAGACAAGAAGCAGCCCUUAGAUCUCAUCAGGAAAUUCUACGGAGAGAAGGUCGGAAUCUACUUUGCUUGGGCUGGGCUAUUACAUUCAGAUGCUCCUCCUGGCAGCAGUCGUGGGGGUGACUUGCUUUCUGUAUGUAUAUUUUAAUCAAAAUAACUGUACUUAGAGGUAACUUCUCUUUAUUCCUUGUUACGGUGCUUACUUAACUUAGAAUGACAUUCUCCAGGAGCAUCCACGUUGCUGCAAAUGGCCCUAUAUUGUCAGUUUUUAUAGCCGAGUAGUUUUCCAUUGUAUAAAUAUACCACUUCUUUAGCCAGUCAUCCGUUGAUGGACAUUUAGGCUAUCUCCAUGUCUUGGCUAUUGUAAAUAGUGCUGCUAUGUAUAUUGGGGUGCAGCUGUCAUCCUGAAGUAGGGUUCCUUCAGGAUAUAUGCACAGGAGUGGGAUUCCUGUGUCAUAUGGCAAUUCUAUUCCUAGUCUUUUGAGGAAACUCAAUACCUAUUCCACAGUGGCUGCACCAAACUGCAUUCCCACCAGAAGUGUCGGAGGUUUCCCUUUGUCCACAGCCUCUCUAGCAUAUGUCAUUUGUGGAUUUUUGAAUGAUGGCCAUUCUGACUGGUUUGAGGUGAUACCUCAUUGUACUUUUGAUUUGCAUUUCUCUGAUAAUUAGUGAUAUUGAGCAUUUUUCAUGUGCCCAUUGAUCAUUUGUAUAUCUUCCUUGGAGAAUUGCUUGUUUUGGUCUUCUGCCCAUGUUUGGAUUGGGUUAUUUGGUUGUUUCUCAGUAAGUCAUAUGAGCUGCUUAUAUAUUCUGGAGAUCAAGCCUUUGUUAGUUUCAUUUGCAAAAAUGUUCUCCCAUUCUGUAGGUUGUCUUUUUGUUUUACUUAAGGUGUCCUUUGCUGUGCAGAAGCUUGUAAGUUUCAUUAGGUCCCAUUUGUUUAUUCUUGCUUUUAUUUCUAUUGCUUGGGUAGACUGCCCUAGGGGAAGAUUUCUGAGAUGUAUGUCAGAUAUUUUGCCUGUAUUUUCUCCUAGGAAUUUUAUUGUAUCUUGUCUUAUGUUUAUCUUGCUGAAGAGACUGUCUUUAUUCCAUUGUAUAUUCUUGCCUCCUUUGUUGAAGAUUAGUUGACCUUAAUAUUUGGGUUCAUUUCUGGGCUCUCUAUUCUGUUCCAUUUGGCUAUAUGUCUGUUUUUGUACUAAUACCAUGCUGUCUUGACGACUGUAAGUCUAUAGUAUUGUCUCAAGUCUGGGAGAGUUACUCUUCCAGCCUCUUUCUUUUUUUCUUCAGUAAUGCCCUGGAAAUUCUAUGUCUUUGAUGGUUCCAUAUAAAUUUUAUUGUGAUUUGUUCUAGUUCUAUGGAAUAUGUCCAGGUUAAUUUGGUAGGGAUUGCAUUAAAUCUGUAGAUUGCCUUGGGCAGUGUGACCAUUUUAACAAUAUUGCUUCUUGCAAUCAAAGAGCAUGGGAUACCUUUCCAUUUUUUAAAGUCUUCUUUAAUUUCCUUCACCAAUGCUUUAUAGUUUUCUGUGUAUAAUUCUGUCACGUCUGUGGUUAGAUUUAUUCCUAGAUAUUUUAUUACUUUGGGUGCUAUUUUAAAGGGGAUUGUUUCUUUACUUUCUUUUUCUGUUGAUUCAUCAUUUGUGUAAAGAAAUGCAACUGAUUUUUGAACAUUAAUCUUGUAACCUGCUACUUUGCUAUAUUCUUCGAUCAGCUCUGGUAGUUUUUGUGUGGACCUUUUAGGGUUUUCUAUAUAUAUUGUCAUGUCAUCUGCAUAUAGUGACACUUUUACCUCUUCUUUUCCAAUUUUGACCCCUUUUACUUCUGUUACUUGCCUGAUUGCUGUGGCCAGGACUUCCAAGUCUAUGUUGAAUAGGAGUGGUGAUAGUGGGCAUCUUUGACUUGUCCCAGAUUUUAGUGGGAAUCUUUUGAGGUUUUCACCAUUGAGUGCUAUGCUGGCUGUAGGUUUGUCAUAUAUAGCUUUUAUGAUGUUGAGAUAUGUUCCCUCAAUACCCACUUUGGUGAGAAUUUUUAUCAUAAAUGGUUGUUGAAUUUUAUCAAAAGUUUUCUGCAUCUAUUGAGAUGAUCAUG